CCUACGGGAGGCAGCAGUGGGGAAUUUUGGACAAUGGGCGCAAGCCUGAUCCAGCAAUGCCGCGUGCAGGAUGAAGGCCUUCGGGUUGUAAACUGCUUUUGUACGGAACGAAACGGCUCUUUCUAAUAAAGAGGGCUAAUGACGGUACCGUAAGAAUAAGCACCGGCUAACUACGUGCCAGCAGCCGCGGUAAUACGUAGGGUGCGAGCGUUAAUCGGAAUUACUGGGCGUAAAGCGUGCGCAGGCGGUUAUAUAAGACAGAUGUGAAAUCCCCGGGCUCAACCUGGGACCUGCAUUUGUGACUGUAUAGCUAGAGUACGGUAGAGGGGGAUGGAAGUUCCGCGUGUAGCAGUGAAAUGCGUAGAUAUGCGGAGGAACACCGAUGGCGAAGGCAAUCCCCUGGACCUGUACUGACGCUCAUGCACGAAAGCGUGGGGAGCAAACAGGAUUAGAUACCCUGGUAGUCCACGCCCUAAACGAUGUCAACUGGUUGUUGGGUCUUCACUGACUCAGUAACGAAGCUAACGCGUGAAGUUGACCGCCUGGGGAGUACGGCCGCAAGGUUGAAACUCAAAUGAAAUUGACCGG
rnacentral:rRNA from 1 species